rnacentral:rRNA from 1 species
GAUAAACGCUGGCGGCGUGCAUAACACAUGCAAGUCGAACGAUGAAGCUUAAAAGAUUUCUUCGGAAUGAACUUAAUUGGAUUAGUGGCGGACGGGUGAGUAACGCGUGAGUAACCUGCCUUGUACAAGGGGAUAGCCGUUGGAAACGACGAAUAAUACCCUAUGACAUCAAAUAAUCGCAUGAUAAUUUGAUCAAAGAUUUAUCGGUAUAAGAUGGACUCGCGUCUGAUUAGCUAGUUGGUAGAGUAAAAGCCUACCAAGGCAACGAUCAGUAGCCGGCUUGAGAGAGUGUACGGCCACAUUGGGACUGAGACACGGCCCAGACUCCUACGGGAGGCAGCAGUGGGGAAUUUUGCACAAUGGGGGAAACCCUGAUGCAGCGACGCCGCGUGAUUGAGAAGGCCUUCGGGUUGUAAAAAUCUUUUGUAUGGGAAGAAAAUGACAGUACCAUACGAAUAAGGACCGGCUAAUUACGUG